GACGAACGCUGGCGGCGUGCCUAAUACAUGCAAGUUGAGCGCUGAAGGUUGGUACUUGUACCAACUGGAUGAGCAGCGAACGGGUGAGUAACGCGUGGGGAAUCUGCCUUUGAGCGGGGGACAACAUUUGGAAACGAAUGCUAAUACCGCAUAAAAACUUUAAACACAAGUUUUAAGUUUGAAAGAUGCAAUUGCAUCACUCAAAGAUGAUCCCGCGUUGUAUUAGCUAGUUGGUGAGGUAAAGGCUCGCCAAGGCGAUGAUACAUAGCCGACCUGAGAGGGUGAUCGGCCACAUUGGGACUGAGACACGGCCCAAACUCCUACGGGAGGCAGCAGUAGGGAAUCUUCGGCAAUGGACGAAAGUCUGACCGAGCAACGCCGCGUGAGUGAAGAAGGUUUUCGGAUCGUAAAACUCUGUUGGUAGAGAAGAACGUUGGUGAGAGUGGAAAGCUCAUCAAGUGACGGUAACUACCCAGAAAGGGACGGCUAACUACGUG
rnacentral:rRNA from 1 species